rnacentral:rRNA from 1 species
UUUGAUCAUGGCUCAAGACGAACGCUGGCGGCGUGCUUAACACAUGCAAGUCGAACGAAGAGCGAUGGAAGCUUGCUUCUAUCAAUCUUAGUGGCGAACGGGUGAGUAACGCGUAAUCAACCUGCCCUUCAGAGGGGGACAACAGUUGGAAACGACUGCUAAUACCGCAUACGAUCUGACCUCGGCAUCGAGGAUAGAUGAAAGGUGGCCUCUACAUGUAAGCUAUCACUGAAGGAGGGGAUUGCGUCUGAUUAGCUAGUUGGAGGGGUAACGGCCCACCAAGGCGAUGAUCAGUAGCCGGUCUGAGAGGAUGAACGGCCACAUUGGGACUGAGACACGGCCCAGACUCCUACGGGAGGCAGCAGUGGGGAAUCUUCCGCAAUGGACGAAAGUCUGACGGAGCAACGCCGCGUGAGUGAUGACGGCCUUCGGGUUGUAAAGCUCUGUUAAUCGGGACGAAAGGCCUUCUUGCGAAUAGUGAGAAGGAUUGACGGUACCGGAAUAGAAAGCCACGGCUAACUACGUGCCAGCAGCCGCGGUAAUACGUAGGCGGCAAGCGUUGUCCGGAAUUAUUGGGCGUAAAGCGCGCGCAGGCGGAUAGGUCAGUCUGUCUUAAAAGUUCGGGGCUUAACCCCGUGAUGGGAUGGAAACUGCCAAUCUAGAGUAUCGGAGAGGAAAGUGGAAUUCCUAGUGUAGCGGUGAAAUGCGUAGAUAUUAGGAAGAAUACCAGUGGCGAAGGCGACUUUCUGGACGAAAACUGACGCUGAGGCGCGAAAGCCAGGGGAGCGAACGGGAUUAGAUACCCCGGUAGUCCUGGCCGUAUACGAUGGGUACUAGGUGUAGGACGUAUCGACCCCUUCUGUGCCGGAGUUAACGCAAUAAGUACCCCGCCUGGGGAGUACGACCGCAAGGUUGAAACUCAANGGAAUUGACGGGGGCCCGCACAAGCGGUGGAGUAUGUGGUUUUAAUUCGACGCAACGCGAAGAACCUANCCAGGUCUGACCAUGAUGGGACAGAACUAGAGAUAGUUCCUCUUCUCGGGAAGCCAGAAAACAGGUGGUGCACGGUNGUCGUCAGCUCGUGUCGUGAGAUGUGGNNUNAAGUCCCGCACNGAGCGCAACCCCUAUCUUAUGUUGCCAGCACUUGGUGGGGGAACUCAUGAGAGACUGCCGCAGACAAUGCGGAGGAAGGCGGGGAUGACGUCAAAUCAUCAUGCCCCUUAUGACCUGGGCUACACACGUACUACAAUGGGAGUUAAUAGACGGAAGCAAGAUCGCGAGAUGGAGCAAACCCGAGAAACACUCUCUCAGUUCGGAUCGUAGGCUGCAACUCGCCUACGUGAAGUCGGAAUCGCUAGUAGUCGCAGGUCAGCAUACUGCGGUGAAUACGUUCCCGGCCUUUGUACACACCGCCCGUC